rnacentral:lncRNA from 1 species
CUCCGGACCCCCGGGCCACUUCCCAGGCCAUCAGGUUCCCUUUCCACUCAAGCUGGUGUGAUGUGGGGCACUCUCAUUUAUAAUGGAAAGAAUUUCAAGUCACAUUAAACCAAGGAGAAAAUGGUGAGAGGAACAGGGUGGGUCCAAGUGGAGACACGCUGAGCAACGAUUGGCCUGUUGACUCCGAGAGGUGAAGGGGUCUCCUGCUGGGGCAGGACACAGGGACCCACCGGUCCCACUGCAGAGAAGGACGAAGGGCAAGCAAAGAGAAGGACUUGGGGUGGGUUUGCUGCCCUUUCACUGCAAAUGACAGAAAUCCAAUUUAUGAGAAGGCAAUGGCAACCCACUCCAGGACUCUUGCCUGGAAAAUCCCAUGGGCAGAGGAGCCUGGUGGGCUGCAAUCCAUGGGGUCACGAAGAGUCAAACACGACUGAGCGACUUCACUUUCACUUUUCACUUUCAUGCAUUGGAGAAGGAAAUGGCAACCCACUCCAGUGUUCUUGCCUGGAGAAUCCCAGGGAUGGGGGAGCCUGGUGGGCUGCCGUCUGUGGGGUCGCACAGAGUCGAACACGACUGAAGUGACUUAGCAGCAGUAGCAGCAAUAAGCAGGAAGGAGAAUUCAUUAGUCCAUGUAACUAAAAUGUCCACGGGUCUCUGGCUUCAGGUGUGGCUGGAUCCAGGUGCCCAGAUGCUCCUGGCAGGAAUCCAUCUCUCUUCAAACAAUGGCGUCUGUAGGCUUCCAUCCUUACAGCAAUCUCAGCUGAAAGAGAGCACCUCUCUCCUCAGCAUUGCAGCAGAAAUCCCAGAACUUAAUCAGAUCGGCCUUGUUUCAGUCUCGUGUCCCACACCCCUAAGAAAAUCCUCAGACAAGGCGAAUGUGGAGUUCUCAGCAGCCAGGCGUCCACCGCAGCCAAGAAUGGACGCAUCAUCAAGAGAGCUACGCAUUCCUCAUGGCAGAGACUCGGUGUUUCCUCAGCUGUACAAGGAGGGCAGACCUUCCC